rnacentral:rRNA from 1 species
UACGAAGGGGGCUAGCGUUGCUCGGAAUGACUGGGCGUAAAGCGCGCGUAGGCGGUUUGAAAAGUCAGAUGUGAAAGCCCCGGGCUCAACUUGGGAACUGCAUUUGAUACUGUCAGACUAGAGUACAGAAGAGGUGACUGGAAUUCCCAGUGUAGCGGUGAAAUGCGUAGAUAUUGGGAGGAACACCAGAUGCGAAGGCGGGUCACUGGGCUGAUACUGACGCUGAAGUGCGAAAGCCAGGGGAGCGAACGGG